AUGAUUGCAAAGUUGCCUCCUUCAUGGAGGAAUUUCGCCACAACUCUGAAGCAUAAGAGACAGGAGAUAUCAGUUGAAAAUCUGAUUGCAUCUCUUGAUGUUGAGGAAAAAGCUCGGGCUAAAGAUACCACUGAAAAAGGAGGUGAGGUUCAGCCUACUGCUAACAUGGUGCAGAGGUACCCACAGAACAAGAACAAAGGGAAGAACAAACCUGUUUUCAACAAGCCUACCAAGACUACUACCUUCAAGAAGAAGAAGUUCAACAAGGCUGAGCUAGAGUGCUACGCCUGUGGGAAGCCUGGACACUUUUCCAAGGAAUGCCCUGAACGUGCAGACCGCAGAGGGAAAACAAGCUCCAAGACUGUCAACAUGGUGACCGCUAGCAAUACUGAUGGGUAUGGUAAUUUACCUAUUGUACUUUCAGUAUUUCAAUCAUCUUCGUGGUGGAUUGAUUCGGGUGCUAACGUUCAUGUGUGUGCUGACAUCUCCCUGUUUACUUCUUAUCAGGUCGCAAGGGAUUCUUCCGUCCUAAUGGGGAAUGGGUCACAUGCUUCUGUUCGUGGCAUUGGCACAGUGGAUCUGAAGUUUACUUUGGGAAAGAUCGUGCAACUAAGGAACGUGCAGCAUGUCCCUACUAUGAACAAGAAUCUAGUUAGCGGCUCCCUUCUAUGUCGAGAUGGAUUUAAGGUAGUUUUAGAGUCCAAUAAAGUAAUCGUGUCAAGAUUUGGACAAUUUAUAGGAAAAGGCUAUGAGUGCGGAGGCUUGUUCCGCUUUUCUCUUUCAGAUUUUAGCAAUAAGUCAAUAAACCAAAUUUGUGCCAAUGUUAAUGAUGAUGCAAGUAUUUGGCACUCUCGUUUAUGUCAUAUUAAUUUUGGUUUAAUGUCUCGGCUAUCCAGCAUGAGUUUAAUUCCGAACUUCACAGUUGCCAAAGGUUCUAAGUGCCAUAGUUGUGUGCAAUCUAAGCAACCUCGAAAGCCUCAUAAGGCUGCCGAGGAGAGAAACUUGGCACCUCUAGAACUCAUACAUUCUGAUCUUUGUGAGAUGAAUGGUGUGUUGACAAAAGGUGGAAAGAGAUAUUUCAUGACUUUGAUUGAUGAUGCGACUAGAUUUUGCUAUGUUUAUUUUUUGCAAACUAAAGAUGAAGCAUUAGACUACUUUAAAAUCUAUAAAGCUGAAGUUGAAAAUCAACUAGAGAGAAAGAUCAAGCGUCUUAGGUCCGAUCGUGGUGGAGAGUAUUUUCCAAAAGUUUUUGAUGAAUUUUGUGAGGAACAUGGUAUUAUUCAUGAGAGGACGCCUCCCUAUUCACCUCAAUCAAAUGGAGUGGCCGAGAGGAAAAACCGCACAUUGACUGACUUGGUGAAUGCCAUGUUAGACACUGCUGGUUUAUCUAAGGCAUGGUGGGGGGAGGCUCUAUUGACUUCAUGUCAUGUCCUGAAUAGAGUUCCCAACAAUAAUAAAGAGAAAACCCCUUAUGAGAGUGGGUUGGGAGAAAACCAUCACUUUCUUAUUUGCGCACUUGGGGAUGUUUGGCAAAGGUCAAUAUUCCUAUUCCUAAGAAACGCAAACUUGGACCAAAGACAGUGGAUUGUGUCUUUCUAG
rnacentral:rRNA from 1 species